UACAGAGGGGGCAAGCGUUGUUCGGAAUUACUGGGCGUAAAGGGCGCGUAGGCGGCCUGUUAAGUCGAACGUGAAAUCCCCGGGCUCAACCCGGGAACUGCGUCCGAUACUGGCAGGCUUGAAUCCGGGAGAGGGAUGCGGAAUUCCAGGUGUAGCGGUGAAAUGCGUAGAUAUCUGGAGGAACACCGGUGGCGAAGGCGGCAUCCUGGACCAAUUCUGACGCUGAGUGAGCGAAAGCCAGGGGAGCAAACGGG
rnacentral:rRNA from 1 species